rnacentral:rRNA from 1 species
GACGAACGCUGGCGGCGUGCUUAACACAUGCAAGUCGAACGGUGAAGCGCCUUCCUUUUUGUUUGGUGUGGAUGAGUGGCGAACGGGUUAGUAACACGUGAGUAACCUGCCCCCUUCUUCUGGAUAACCGCAUGAAAGUGUGGCUAAUACGGGAUAUUCUGGGUCUGUCGCAUGAUGGGUCUGUGAAAGAUAUUGUUUCGGUUGGGGAUGGUCUCGCGGCCUAUCAGCUUGUUGGUGGGGUGAUGGCCUACCAAGGCGGUGACGAGUAGCCGGCCUGAGAGGGUGGACGGUCACACUGGGACUGAGACACGGAGCAGACUACUACGGGCGGCAGCAGUGGGGAAUAUUGCACAAUGGGAGCAAGGCUGAUGCAGCGACGCCGCGUGAGGGAUGGAGGCCUUCGGGUUGUGAACCUCUUUCGCCAGUGAAGCAGGCCUGCCUAGUUUGUGGGUGGGUUGACGGUAGCUGGAUAAGAAGCGCCGGCUAACUACGUG